rnacentral:misc_RNA from 1 species
UUUCCGUAGGUGAACCUGCGGAAGGAUCAUUCAUAAUAAAGUGUUUUAUGGCACUUUUUAAAAAUCCAUAUCCACCUUGUGUGCAAUGUUAGAUCUCGUCAAUCUUGGCGAGAUUUUUAUACAUCAACUCAUUUUUUAACUGAUUUGUCUGAAAAAUAUUAUGAAUACUUAAUUCAAAAUACAACUUUCAACAACGGAUCUCUUGGCUCUC